AUACGUAGGUGGCAAGCGUUGUCCGGAUUUAUUGGGCGUAAAGCGAGCGCAGGCGGUCUCUUAAGUCUGAUGUGAAAGCCCCCGGCUCAACCGGGGAGGGUCAUUGGAAACUGGGAGACUUGAGUGCAGAAGAGGAGAGUGGAAUUCCAUGUGUAGCGGUGAAAUGCGUAGAUAUAUGGAGGAACACCAGUGGCGAAGGCGGCUCUCUGGUCUGUAACUGACGCUGAGGCUCGAAAGCGUGGGGAGCAAACAGGAUUAGAUACCCUGGUAGUCCACGCCGUAAACGAUGAGUGCUAAGUGUUGGAGGGUUUCCGCCCUUCAGUGCUGCAGCUAACGCAUUAAGCACUCCGCCUGGGGAGUACGGCCGCAAGGCUGAAACUCAAAGGAAUUGACGGGG
rnacentral:rRNA from 1 species